GGAGGGGUGGCCGAGCGGUCGAAGGCGACGGUCUUGAAAACCGUUGAUGUGCAAGCAUCCGUGGGUUCGAAUCCCACCCCCUCCGCCA
rnacentral:tRNA from 1 species